GCAGUUACUGAAAAAAUACAAAAAUAAGGUGAAAAAGCUAGAAUUGCAACCAAUCAACUCAAUCCAGUAGCUUUUAUAUAUGCAACAGUAAUUUCAGGACAGAUGGCUUCUAUGCACUAGAAUGUAUAAGGUAACAACUUCUAGUAGCUAUAUAUUUAUGGUCUUUGAUAUCUCCAUAUGACCACAUUCAUGCCCAGCUGUAUUUCUUACAGACACAGUUAUGCAGUGUUCUACAGAUUCACCACCUCUCACAAACAAGGGCCUCUUGCUAUUUUUAGCUUCAGAAGGGCAGUUGUUUUCCCUGAACAUUUUCCAUUUUGUUUAGACUUCCUUGCAACAACUUUAAGGAAGACUCUCCUAAAGACUUGAGCUCUAAUAAAUGUUGAUGCAGGACUGAAUCUUAAGACCAUUUAUGCUGCUACAGGUAACAUUAGAAGGGACAAUGAUAGGAGUAUUUUCAAAGUAAUCAAGAGUACCUCUACUGCUCGCAAGACAUCUCUGAAAACAGAUCGCUGCUUUCUUUUGUCUACUUUGGCACGGUGCUUGUUUCCAUCUGUAGCCAGGGCCCUCAGUUUCUGUGUUAAAAGUUCCAUGUCUUCAUAAAAGAAAUCCUAGCCAGACGAAAGGAGAUGUUUCAGUUUCUGGUCUUCACACAAUUUUUCUCUAAGUGGUAAUACAUCAACUUUUCCCACAGUAUUGUCAUUUGGGAUCACAAGGCAUUUAUAAGGUAAAAUAAAUAUAUUAACUGUACUUAAAAAGUUAAGUGAUCAGGGUCCAGUUACCCAAGUGUGACCUGUUUGCACCUGCUGGUACAGUUGUCAACUGAAGCAUUCAAUGUGGAGCUCCCUCAAUAUGAAAGCAGCUACCAACAAGGUCUCUUGUGAGGCCCUUGGAUUAUGGAACAAACGCCCCACUUGGCCUGCUAGUGCCUAGAUUUGUUAACCCUCUGGACAUGCUGUAGUGUUAUGUUCUCUGGCACUUGGAGUCGAGGAGAUGCUUAUUGGCAUGGGAUAAUUAAGUUUUGGGGUGAUUGCGGAGAUACUGACAGUUGACUUAAGAUGUUUAAUGCCAUUUAUUACUGUUAAAUUAAGUUUGGAAAGGGAGCCCAGAGCUUACAAAGGGGACUUCUAAUAUUUUAAGACUAAAACCGAACAGUUUAUGGAGGCCAGAUUAAUUCCUAACCAACUACAAGUGCAUCGUUUUGUCUUUUUACCGAUUCCACAUUAUUUACAUUACUCUUUCAAAUGAUAGCAUGCUAUCAAAGUAAAACUAUUUGUGGCAUGGACCAGCUGUUCAUUUUUUAACUAUGCCUAAAACAGAACCCUGCACCUUAACUGCGGCUCCUAGGCACUACUCUAUUUAACAGCUGUCUUCUGUGUGUUUCUAUUUCCUUCUUUGUCGUUGUAAUUUUUUAAUCUCAUUUUACUUCAGUGUCCUCCCAGUCUGCUCCAUAUACCACACCACACAAAUAUACUUAGUGUCAUCUGAUCCUGUGAUUAAGUUGGUAAAUUUAAGAGUGAAUACUGCAUGUAGUUUGAAAGAAUGAAUGCUAAAUAAGAGCAAGGAAUGUAGUAAAAAUCUUGCAUGAAUGGGAGUAGUGUAGAUAAGAUUAGCAUCAGAUGGGCUACGAGAACCCUUUUGUCAUAAAUUCUGCUUAUUAUACAAGCUACUGAACGGGGUAACUUGCAUAUGAACUGAAGUGCUUUUCUUAAAGGAAGUACUUAGUCUCAAAGGUGCCACAGGACCCUCUGUUGCUUUCUUAAAGGAAGUGUUUUAAGAUCUUAAAGAAUGCAUAUUUAUAUUAUUUUAUCAAAGCCAACUACAUUCAAACCAAAAUUUCAGUCACUUGAACUCUUUUCUUCACUUGCAAUGUGUCUGCAAGCUCUAGACUCAUCUUGCCAGGCCUAAUAACUUCACUUUCACUGUCAAGCCCUUUCAAAGUAGCCUUCCAUAGCUAGGAUCUUGCAACCAACUACCUGCCGUAUUUAGAAGCACUACAAAAAGCAGCACAAUUUAGGUACAUGUGAAGUUACUGUGCUUGGUAUCCUGACUCAUUUACAGUUACCCUUCCCUCUCAGACCAUGUUCUAGCUUGGUCAAGGCUGAUGUGCUUUGCCAGGCGCCCUUCUGGCAGCCCUCCCAAGCUGUGCCCAUGGAUAACUGGAGACUAUUUUCUUCAUUGCUGUCAAAAAACAGUUAAGAAGUUAAGGCACAUUACACCGAAGGGCAACGAAACAGAUUAAGUCUGUUAUAAGGCAACAUUAAAAGACAAAUUACAAGUUACUUAAAAUAUCUAACCAUCCAGUGCAAAGGUAAACCACAAGGAAAAUAUACCAAUCACAACCUCAGUAGCACAACAUAAAUAUGUAAUUAACACCUUAAAAGUCUUCCUCCAAAGUUGCAACUGGCAAAAUGCCAUCAAUCUACUUUCAGAUGCCAAGAAAUUGUUCAAAAGCAUCAGGCAAGUCCCAUAAUGAUGUUUUACUAAUCUCUUCAUCCUUGGGUACCCCCCUUUGAGGGAACAUAAGGAAAUGGAAAAACCCCUACUCAAGAUACUGUCUAAACUCAAGAGUUCAUUGCAACUGUGACAGCACACAGCAAUGCUUUCUGCGAGUCCCUGGAACUGCCAGAUUUGGGGAAGCUGAAAAGGGUAAGAGUCUGUACUAAAUGCCCCCUUUACCAUGGUUUGUUGGGGUACAAGAUGCUAAUCUACAUUUCUUUUCUUUGCAGUUUUUUUUAAAAAGUGUUAUUUAGAUGUCAGUAUCAGAUUUUAUUGACUAGCAUUCCAGCAGCCCUGGAGUUAUCACACGGAGAUAAUAGGAGGGCUAGCACAAGGAGGCUUGUUUUAAUUGGAGUAGUUCUAGUGCAGGGAUCAGCAACCUUUGGCAUGCAGCCCAUCAGGUUAAGCCCCUGGCAGGCCAGGACGGUUUGUUUACCUGCAGCAUCCACAGGUUCAGCCAAUCACGGCUUCCACUGGCCGUGGUUCACCAUCCCAGGCCAAUGGGGGCUGCAGGAAGAGGUGGUCCGGCCCAGGCUGCUUCCUGCGUGCCAAAGGUUGCUGAUCCCUGCUCUAGUGUGUCUUCUAAGUUUAGAUACAUUUUUCUUCAUUAUUUUAAGUUGUGGAGUGUUUAUAUGCAACUUUCCCACCCAGAAUGCACAGACAGAUACAACUAGAUUGUAAGAGGUGGUCCUCUGGAAUUAGGGAUGCUAUGUGAAAGAUGCUAUGCUAGUUCGCAACAAUCUCAAUGCAAGAAACCUGUUACAGCUAAAUCCAUUAUACUUACAGCUUCCGUUUCUCGUGCCAGUUCAAACAGAAGAGCUAGUGUUUCUCCAGCAGCAAUUCUCAUGUUGACAUCAUCACAAGAUAAGAGGUUUGGAAGUUUGUGUAAGUGCCUAGAAAAAAUGAGCUACAUUUUAUUAAUCUGUAAAGAGCGAUUUUUACAAUAAAGCAACAUAAAGCAAAAUAACAGUUCAUUGUAGAAGUUGCCUUCCAGGAAAGGAACAUACAUUUCAAGUUUUUUCUUCACUUCGCUCACUGGGCAGAUGGUCAGCAACAGAGUCCAUGCUAAAAGUGCACUGAUGUGAAGCACUGUGUUGUGGGUGCUAGAAAUGCCAUUAGUGUCGCUCUCUCUCUGAUACCAUUUUGUGAAUAUGUUUUCCAGACACUCCAUAGUUGAAUACAGUUCCUGGUUUAAAAAAAAGCAGUGUAAAUGGCUAAAUUCAAUUAUUAAAAUUUGUGUAAAACUUGAUAUAAAGGGUUAAGUGUUUAUCCUUACAGUAA